rnacentral:rRNA from 1 species
CCUACGGGUGACAGCAGUAGGGAAUUUUCGGCAAUGGGGGGAACCCUGACCGAGCAACGCCGCGUGAACGAAGAAGUUAUUCGUAAUGUAAAGUUCUUUUAACAGGGAAGAAAGAGAAAUUUGACGGUACCUGAAGAAUAAGCUCCGGCUAACUACGUGCCAGCAGCCGCGGUAAUACGUAGGGAGCGAGCGUUAUCCGGAUUUAUUGGGUUUAAAGGGUGCGUAGGCGGGUUAUCAAGUCAGCGGUAAAAUCGUGGAGCUCAACUCCAUCCAGCCGUUGAAACUGAUGAUCUUGAGUGGGCGAGAAGUAUGCGGAAUGCGUGGUGUAGCGGUGAAAUGCAUAGAUAUCACGCAGAACUCCGAUUGCGAAGGCAGCAUACCGGCGCCCGACUGACGCUGAAGCACGAAAGCGUGGGUAUCGAACAGGAUUAGAUACCCUUGUAGUC